AUUGAACGCUGGCGGCAUGCCUUACACAUGCCAGUCGAACGGCAGCACGGGUGCUUGCACCUGGUGGCGAGUGGCGAACGGGUGAGUAAUACAUCGGAACAUGUCCUGUAGUGGGGGAUAGCCCGGCGAAAGCCGGAUUAAUACCGCAUACGAUCCACGGAUGAAAGCGGGGGACCUUCGGGCCUCGCGCUAUAGGGUUGGCCGAUGGCUGAUUAGCUAGUGGGUGGGGUAAAGGCCUACCAAGGCGACGAUCAGUAGCUGGUCUGUGAGGACGACCAGCCACACUGGGACUGAGACACGGCCCAGACUCCUACGGGAGGCAGCAGUGGGGAAUUUUGGACAAUGGGCGAAAGCCUGAUCCAGCAAUGCCGCGUGUGUGAAGAAGGCCUUCGGGUUGUAAAGCACUUUUGUCCGGAAAGAAAUCCUUGACUCUAAUACAGUCGGGGGAUGACGGUACCGGAAGAAUAAGCACCGGCUAACUACGUG
rnacentral:rRNA from 1 species